rnacentral:miRNA from 1 species
CUACUCUGUCCCCACCUCCAGG